GGUCAAUGAUCAACCUACUAGUUUGACCUCCNUGAUAUCCAAAUGUCCCAGUAUUAAGAAACUUUCNCCCAUGGUGAAACACNACCACGACAUCACAGUUGGACAUUUUGGUCAAUGUUCAACUAUAAAAUUCCUAUAUAAAAGUAAAUGUCAGAAUAAAUUCUAAACAUGCUACCACCCCCUUACACAUUACUAACUAUCAUACUCAAUUCAAAGUUUUUGACCUACACCUAUACACGUGCACUGAUGAUUAAAUAAAGAUGCAUCAACCACACAGAAAAACAAACAAACAUAGAAUAAACAAUUUCAUAUUCAGUUUGGGGACCAAAUACAUACAAAAAUAGUGCCCCAAAGUCAUCAAACAACGNGACCACAUCAGAGACAACAAAACACAGUAGGGGACCACGCGUGAACACAGUCAGGGGACAAGGACACCACAGACUGCCAUGGGGGACCCCAGCAACAUAAAAUAACUCAUGAAAAACGUACCUUUCACCUUUUCCUUUCGAAGGAACUCCACGCUGACGAACCACGCGUCGAAGGAANACNCUCCUUUGGACACGAAUCUCCCUACCACAAACACUUACACUGCUCCUUUGGACACGAAUCUCCUUCGAACCAACCAACCUCUGUCUCACAGAAUCACAGAACCAAGCAAUUCCCCAACCCUCGAAAAACAAUUCCCAAUUUNACUCUGCCCCAAUUUCACUGUGACCUAAU
rnacentral:lncRNA from 1 species